rnacentral:misc_RNA from 1 species
GAAAUGCGAUAAGUAAUGUGAAUUGCAGAAUUCAGUGAAUCAUCGAAUCUUUGAACGCACCUUGCGCUCCUUGGUAUUCCUUGGAGCAUGCCUGUUUGAGUAUCAUGAAAUCUUCAAAGUAAAUCUUUUGUUAACUCAAUUGGUUUCUACUUUGGUAUUGGAGGUCUUUGCAGCUUCACACCUGCUCCUCUUUGUUCAUUAGCUGGAUCUCAGUGUUAUGCUUGGUUCCACUCGGCGUGAUAAGUUAUCUAUCGCUGAGGACACUGUAAAAGGUGGCCAAGGUAAAUGCAGAUGAACCGCUUCUAAUAGUCCAUUGACUUGGACAAUACUGUUAUGAUCUUAUCUCAAAUCAGGUAGGACUACCCGCUCAACUUAAGC